rnacentral:lncRNA from 1 species
GGCUCAACCUUCCUAAGCUCAAUUUCUUCUACCUUCCUAGUGAGGGCUGCCAUUUUAGCGUGAAGAUCAUCCUCAGUUCUGAGGUUGUAAAGGCCUCCAUGUACAGAGCUAGUAGGCUUAGGCAAAGACUUGUUGUUUCUAUCCCCGUUAUCCCAAAGUUGGGCAGUCUCAGCAAGGGAAUCCAAAUACUCCCAUGCCUCAUCAGGUUGUUUUUCUAAAAAUCUACCAUUGCACAUGGUCUCUACAAAUUGUUUCAA